GACGAACGCUGGCGGCGUGCUUAACACAUGCAAGUCGAGCGGUAAGGCCCUUUCGGGGGUACACGAGCGGCGAACGGGUGAGUAACACGUGGGUGACCUGCCCUCAGCUCUGGGAUAAGCCUGGGAAACCGGGUCUAAUACUGGAUAUGACUCCAUGACGCAUGUUGUGGGGUGGAAAGCCUUGUGCGGCUGAGGAUGGGCCCGCGGCCUAUCAGCUUGUUGGUGGGGUGANGGCCUACCAAGGCGACGACGGGUAGCCGGCCUGAGAGGGCGACCGGCCACACUGGGGACUGAGACACGGCCCAGACUCCUACGGGAGGCAGCAGUGGGGAAUCUUGCGCAAUGGGCGAAAGCCUGACGCAGCGACGCCGCGUGAGGGAAGAAGGCCUGCGGGUUGUAAACCUCUUUCAGCUCCGACGAAGCGAGAGUGACGGUAGGAGC
rnacentral:rRNA from 1 species